rnacentral:ncRNA from 2 species
UAGACCAGAAGAGGAGCGUUAACCAGGUAGAACAUCUCAGGCCGCUACAAGCCGCAGGAUGUUUGAGGGGGAUUAACGCCGAGGACUAACAGCUGUAGCUGCUGUGCGUCCGGUUGCUAAGGCUGAAUCCUUACGACUGUCACCUGUUUUUUGUGGUGGAGAGCUUCUGGCCUU